ACUACAUCAUGUGUCAUCUUGACUACAUCAUGUGUCAACCACUCACUUACUUCUCAUUUUCAUACUGCCAGUGAGUUGUUUUACAAAACCUCUCCACUUUUCUCUACUACAGGGUGGGUGAUGCAACAAUGGCCUUGAGAACAGCAGGAAGUGUGUUGGUGGUCUUUCUCUGGUCUGUGGCAGCAAAUACAGCAACAAGGUGUGGACAACAAAGCCAGGUGAUGGUCUCUCCCACCAAUGCAGUGAAGGGACAGGAGGUGACACUGACCUGUAGCAACACCUGUACUCUGAGUGACAACACCAACCCCACCUACAUCUGGUACAAGAACGGACAACGUCUCGAUGAGCCUACUUCCCAACAAUACUCCUGUAAUACUCUGGUGGUCUGGUGUUACUCUGCAGACAGUUACUCCUGUGCUGUAAAAGACCAUGAGGAUUUUCUCGCUCCUACAGUGUGUGAGUCUGAACUCACCUAUAAUAAUCAUCUUAAGUAUCAAUCAUUAAGGCCUGUGGACCAAUAGUAGAACAUGUGGGGAAAAACAGACAAAUCUGUGCACUCUUGGAUAAUAACACCAGUAAAAAAAGUA